rnacentral:rRNA from 1 species
GGAUGUGGGAUUGCACAGACAACCAGGAUGUUGGCUUAGAAGCAGCCACUCAUUCAAAGAGUGCGUAAUAGCUCACUGGUCGAGUGAUCCUGCGCCGAAGAUUUCCGGGGCUAAAACUUACUACCGAAGCUACGGCAUCAGUAAUGAUGGGUAGGGGAGCUUCCCAUACGGGUUGAAGCAUGACCGUAAGGACAUGUGGACAGUAUGGGAGUGAGAAUGUUGGCAUGAGUAGCGAGAUGUGGGUGAGAAUCCCACAGGCCGUAAACCCAAGGUUUCCAGGGGAAGGUUCGUCCGCCC